rnacentral:lncRNA from 1 species
CCAACAGUACCACUGGGGGCAUUGCUGUAGGAGCGUCCAGCUCCAAAACAAACACCCUAGACAUGCAGAGCUCAGGGUUUGAUGCACUGCUGCAUGAGGUCCAGGAGAUCCGGGAAACCCAGACCAGACUGGAGGAGUCCUUCGAGACCCUCAAGGAGCACUACCAGAGGGACUACUCCUUAAUAAUGCAGACCUUACAGGAAGAGCGAUAUAGAUGUGAACGACUAGAAGAGCAACUGAAUGACCUGACAGAGCUCCACCAGAAUGAGAUCCUGAACUUAAAGCAGGAGUUGGCCAGCAUGGAAGAGAAAAUCGCCUAUCAGUCAUAUGAACGGGCCCGGGACAUCCAGGAGGCCCUGGAGGCCUGUCAAACCCGCAUUUCCAAGAUGGAGCUGCAGCAGCAACAGCAGCAGGUGGUGCAACUGGAAGGGCUGGAGAAUGCCACUGCCCGAAACCUUCUGGGCAAACUCAUCAAUAUCCUCCUGGCUGUCAUGGCAGUCCUCUUGGUCUUUGUGUCCACGGUAGCCAACUGUGUGGUCCCCCUCAUGAAGACACGCAACAGGACGUUCAGCACUUUAUUCCUUGUGGCUUUCAUUGCCUUUCUUUGGAAGCACUGGGAUGCCCUCUUCAGCUACGUGGACCGACUCUUCUCACCUCCCAGAUGAUGCUGGCACUUCUCACCGUCUGGCGAGUGCAUGCCAAGAGAGCUAGACAGCAGCAUUACCCACUCUGAAGUUUUCUACAAGAGAGUUGAGUGAAUCUGUUUACAUUUAGAAUAAUGUUUUUUUCUUCAAGAGACGCAAUUGCAAUAGUAUUUUUUAGAUUUUAUCCAAGAAGUUUUUUGGGCAAAAAUCUUGGAUCAUUUUUAUGUAGCAUGAUUUUCCUUGGGAUGCAAAUCUGAAACAGUCCUUUAACAUGAACAAUCUGCAACACACUGAAGGGCAUUCUGAAUUGAUGCUUGGAGUACUGCACUAAACCCACUAAACAGAUGCAAAAACCUGACCAGGCCCAACACCCACCCUGCCUGGGCUCCUCUCCUCAUCCAGACUAACUCUACUGUGAAGUCCCACCACAUUCCAGUUUGGAAUUUUAGAUUCAGGGUGGAUUUCCCCUGCCGUGGAAGAACACAGGCAUCUCCCUAGCUUUCUCAUGCUAACCCUGAAAUAUGAUCACUUCUGAACCUGCUCCUUUCUUAACUGCCAGGAUUGGAGGCAAGAUCAUCAAGCCCAUAGGAUGACCAUGCAAUCCUGUUCAGUAUUGUGAAGUAGCCCUUAAUCCUAACUUUUAAGCAAAAUCCCUUGGCCGCACUUUUAAGGUUUGGUUGUUUGUUUUUUUAUAUAUAUAUGUGUAUAGUUACCAACUUAAAAAUAAAAAAUCCGAACAACAUACUUGAAGAAUGUAAUACUCAAA